rnacentral:rRNA from 1 species
AGCAGCCGCGGUAAUUCCAGCUCCAAUAGCGUAUAUUAAAGUUGUUGCAGUUAAAAAGCUCGUAGUUGAAUUUUGGGUUUGGCCGGUUGGUCCGUUCUUGUAACGAGUACUGGUCGGUUGGGCCUCAUCGCUUGGUGAUGCGUAAUGUCCUUUAUUGGGUGUUGCGAGUAGCCAAGACCUUUACCUUGAAAAAAUUAGAGUGUUUAAAGCAGGCAUAUGCCGGAAUACAUUAGCAUGGAAUAAUAGAAUAGGACAACGAUUCUAUUUUGUUGGUUUCUAGGACCGUUGUAAUGAUUAAUAGGGAUAGUUGGGGGCAUUAGUAUUCAAUUGUCAGAGGUGAAAUUCUUGGAUUUAUUGAAGACUAACUACUGCGAAAGCAUUUGCCAAGGAUGUUUUCAUUAAUCAAGAACGAAAGUUAGGGGAUCGAAGACGAUCAGAUACCGUCGUAGUCUUAACCAUAAACUAUGCCGACUAGGGAUCGGGCGAUGUUGUUUCAAUGACUCGCUCGGCACCUUAUG